AAAAUGUCCAAUUUGUGAGCAGUAGUUUUAGGUGAAUAACGUAAUAAGUAGGUAUUUUAUUUGUUUUACGGUUCAGAUUAUCGUUGAACGAAACAUGGUAAAUUAUAAAAAUGUAAUAAGGAAUAAAUAAGGUCCGAAAUUGUUAUAAAAAAAUUAAUAUUGAAAAAGUUGGUAGCCACAAAUGUUACAAAAUGUUGAUAAUUUGUCAACCGGAAAUUAUGCCC